rnacentral:rRNA from 1 species
AUUGAACGCUGGCGGCAGGCCUAACACAUGCAAGUCGAGCGGAUGAAGGGAGCUUGCUCCUGGAUUCAGCGGCGGACGGGUGGGUAAUGCCUAGGAAUCUGCCUGGUAGUGGGGGCUAACGUCCGGAAACGGGCGCUAAUACCGCAUACGUCCUGAGGGAGAAAGUGGGGGAUCUUCGGACCUCACGCUAUCAGAUGAUCCUAGGUCGGAUUAGCUAGUUGGUGGGGUAAAGGCCUACCAAGGCGACGAUCCGUAACUGGUCUGAGAGGAUGAUCAGUCACACUGGAACUGAGACACGGUCCAGACUCCUACGGGAGGCAGCAGUGGGGAAUAUUGGACAAUGGGCGAAAGCCUGAUCCAGCCAUGCCGCGUGUGUGAAGAAGGUCUUCGGAUUGUAAAGCACUUUUAGUUGGGAGGAAGGGCAGUAAGUUAAUACCUUGCUGUUUUGACGUUACCAAAAGAAUAAGCACCGGCUAACUUCGUG